AGGGGCGUAGCUCAGCUGGAUCGAGCAUCGGGUUUCUACCCCGAAGGCUAACGUGGGUUCGAAUCCCACCGCCCCUGCCA
rnacentral:tRNA from 1 species